rnacentral:rRNA from 1 species
UACGAAGGGGGCUAGCGUUGCUCGGAAUCACUGGGCGUAAAGCGCACGUAGGCGGAUUGCUAAGUCAGGGGUGAAAUCCUGGAGCUCAACUCCAGAACUGCCUUUGAUACUGGCGACCUUGAGUCCGGGAGAGGUGAGUGGAACUGCGAGUGUAGAGGUGAAAUUCGUAGAUAUUCGGAAGAACACCAGUGGCGAAGGCGGCUCACUGGCCCGGUUCUGACGCUGAGGUGCGAAAGCGUGGGGAGCAAACAGG